AAAUUGAAGAGUUUGAUCAUGGCUCAGAUUGAACGCUGGCGGCAGGCCUAACACAUGCAAGUCGAGCGGAAACGAGUUAUCUGAACCUUCGGGGAACGAUAACGGCGUCGAGCGGCGGACGGGUGAGUAAUGCCUAGGAAAUUGCCCUGAUGUGGGGGAUAACCAUUGGAAACGAUGGCUAAUACCGCAUGAUGCCUACGGGCCAAAGAGGGGGACCUUCGGGCCUCUCGCGUCAGGAUAUGCCUAGGUGGGAUUAGCUAGUUGGUGAGGUAAGGGCUCACCAAGGCGACGAUCCCUAGCUGGUCUGAGAGGAUGAUCAGCCACACUGGAACUGAGACACGGUCCAGACUCCUACGGGAGGCAGCAGUGGGGAAUAUUGCACAAUGGGCGCAAGCCUGAUGCAGCCAUGCCGCGUGUAUGAAGAAGGCCUUCGGGUUGUAAAGUACUUUCAGCAGUGAGGAAGGUGGAUGCGUUAAUAGCGUAUUCAUUUGACGUUAGCUGCAGAAGAAGCACCGGCUAACUCCGUGCCAGCAGCCGCGGUAAUACGGAGGGUGCGAGCGUUAAUCGGAAUUACUGGGCGUAAAGCGCAUGCAGGUGGUUUGUUAAGUCAGAUGUGAAAGCCCGGGGCUCAACCUCGGAAUAGCAUUUGAAACUGGCAGACUAGAGUACUGUAGAGGGGGGUAGAAUUUCAGGUGUAGCGGUGAAAUGCGUAGAGAUCUGAAGGAAUACCGGUGGCGAAGGCGGCCCCCUGGACAGAUACUGACACUCAGAUGCGAAAGCGUGGGGAGCAAACAGGAUUAGAUACCCUGGUAGUCCACGCCGUAAACGAUGUCUACUUGGAGGUUGUGGCCUUGAGCCGUGGCUUUCGGAGCUAACGCGUUAAGUAGACCGCCUGGGGAGUACGGUCGCAAGAUUAAAACUCAAAUGAAUUGACGGGGGCCCGCACAAGCGGUGGAGCAUGUGGUUUAAUUCGAUGCAACGCGAAGAACCUUACCUACUCUUGACAUCCAGAGAACUUUCCAGAGAUGGAUUGGUGCCUUCGGGAACUCUGAGACAGGUGCUGCAUGGCUGUCGUCAGCUCGUGUUGUGAAAUGUUGGGUUAAGUCCCGCAACGAGCGCAACCCUUAUCCUUGUUUGCCAGCGAGUAAUGUCGGGAACUCCAGGGAGACUGCCGGUGAUAAACCGGAGGAAGGUGGGGACGACGUCAAGUCAUCAUGGCCCUUACGAGUAGGGCUACACACGUGCUACAAUGGCGCAUACAGAGGGCGGCCAACUUGCGAAAGUGAGCGAAUCCCAAAAAGUGCGUCGUAGUCCGGAUUGGAGUCUGCAACUCGACUCCAUGAAGUCGGAAUCGCUAGUAAUCGUGGAUCAGAAUGCCACGGUGAAUACGUUCCCGGGCCUUGUACACACCGCCCGUCACACCAUGGGAGUGGGCUGCAAAAGAAGUAGGUAGUUUAACCUUCGGGGGGACGCUUACCACUUUGUGGUUCAUGACUGGGGUGAAGUCGUAACAAGGUAGCGCUAGGGGAACCUGGCGCUGGAUCACCUCCUUAUACGAUGAU
rnacentral:rRNA from 1 species